AGGAACUAAGCCACCGAAAGGUGGUCUAAUACUUCAUAAUAUCCAUCUCGUAUGGAUUAAAGCUUUAUGCGCUUUGGAGGGGCCUGCGUAACAUUAGCUAGUUGGUGAGGUAAAAGCUCACCAAGGCUUCGAUGUUUAACUGGUUUGAGAGGAUGACCAGUCACACUGGGACUGAGAUACGGCCCAGACUCCUACGGGAGGCAGCAGUAAGGAAUCUUCCACAAUGGGGCAACCUGAUGGAGCAAUACCGCGUGCAGGAUGAAGCGUUUCGGCGUGUAAACUGCUUUUAUCACCGAAGAUUAUGACUGUAGGUGAAGAAUAAGGACCGGCUAACUACGUG
rnacentral:rRNA from 1 species